rnacentral:rRNA from 1 species
GCAGUAGCCACGGUAAUACAGAGGGUGCGAGCGUUAAUCGGAUUUACUGGGCGUAAAGCGUGCGUAGGCGGCUUCUUAAGUCGGAUGUGAAAUCCCUGAGCUUAACUUAGGAAUUGCAUUCGAUACUGGGAAGCUAGAGUAUGGGAGAGGAUGGUAGAAUUCCCGGUGUAGCGGUGAAAUGCGUAGAGAUCUGGAGGAAUACCGAUGGCGAAGGCAGCCAUCUGGCCUAAUACUGACGCUGAGGUACGAAAGCAUGGGGAGCAAACAGGAUUAGAUACCCCCGUAGUCCCUGUCUCUUAUAC